CAAAAUGAAAUUAAAAUAGAAGUAUACCCAAGUACAUCCAAGUUAAAUAGAAGAUGCAAGUCUCCUACCAGACAUAGUACCAGGUCUCCGGACACAGAUGACCUGGUAUGCAGAGUGUGCAAAAGAACCUUCCAUUCGAAAGGCCCAUUUACUAAUCAUAUAAAAACACAUCAAAAUGAAAUUAAAAUAGAAGUAUACCCAAGUACAUCCAAGUUAAAUAGAAGAUGCAAGUCUCCUACCAGACAUAGUACCAGGUCUCCGGACACAGAUGACCUGGUAUGCAGAGUGUGCAAAAGAACCUUCCAUUCGAAAGGCCCAUUUACUAAUCAUAUAAAAACACAUCAAAAUGAAAUUAAAAUAGAAGUAUACCCAAGUACAUCCAAGUUAAAUAGAAGAUGCAAGUCUCCUACCAGACAUAGUACCAGGUCUCCGGACACAGAUGACCUGGUAUGCAGAGUGUGCAAAAGAACCUUCCAUUCGAAAGGCCCAUUUACUAAUCAUAUAAAAACACAUCAAAAUGAAAUUAAAAUAGAAGUAUACCCAAGUACAUCCAAGUUA